GAUUAGGGUGGGUGAAUUCAAUUUUGGUAGUACGUGGGUCGGAUAGCGUGCCAGACUAAGUUUAGUGGUGACCGGGUGCUCAAUUUCUGGUAGAGACAAGAAAUUAAGAUGAGGAACAUGGCAAAAAAAGAAGAAGCAUUUUCGUUACUUGCUCACAUAUGAGGUUAGUAGCCAAAGCCAUUGUAAACGAUGGGGACAAGGGUGGAAACUAGCAGAUCGGGAAAGGAUUAGCCAAGCAAGAGAAAUGGGUCGUGUAGACAAAGGACCCAUAGAUGGGGUUGAGAAACCGGGGCUAUCUACCUCACAGUGAGUUUUGCAGGUCGCGUCUCGCAUGGCGGCGUGUGUAAUCGAGAAGCAAGCAAGUUUAAUAUUACACUAAUAUAAAAGUAAAAUCAUUGGUAUCUAGGAUUUAAUUGACACUGGUGGAGAAGAUGUGCCCAUCACAAGUAGUCGUUUUUCUUGAUUCUCAUGUUCAACCCUUUUUUUCUCAGAGAUUCAAGUAGCUUCAUUUGCUUAGAAAAUAGCAUGGUUAGAAACAAUGUGCAAGCAGGAAAAGAAAAAAAUCUAUACCAUCAAUUUUUG
rnacentral:lncRNA from 1 species